CACGAAUAUUAAAGCGACUAUCGUGUUGGACUCGAUCCAUUUUUUGUCAGUGUAUGGACUCGGGGUGAUUAUUGAACGAUACCUGCAAGCUCAAUUCCGCGACAGAAACUUGCUGGCUGAAAUCACGUGAUUUUGAUAACUUGUUCAGGACUUCGUGACCUAACCAAGUGCUGAAAAUCACUUGCAGAAAAUGGUGAGCCAAUCGGAUCAGGGACUUUGAUUUCUCAAAACCAUUGGAAAUGGUAUAGGAAAAUAUAAGAAAAGACGGGUGCUCCUCCGAGACAAGUGGAUUAACUGUGAAAACUCAAGACAACACGCCUCUUGGCUCUAAUUCUGAUUGACCAUCAAAGAGAUGAAAAUGUCUAUCGAAAAGUAGAACACUGAACCAUUUCAAGCGCACUGCUGUACCGAUAGAGAAUAACGAGGCUGAGUGAUCGACCACGCCUGCGCGAAUCAAUUGAAUUCUAUUGGCCUGCGAGAGCGAACCAUGGCAAUAUUUCAGUAUACAAGACAGGGGAGCCAUUACACUCGGAACGUGUCAAGCGGUGAGUUAAAUUUAUGUUUUCAUGAUGACUUGUAAAUGUAAUCACGGUCGUCAGUCAGUUAACAAUAAUAGUUUUCCAAGCCCUUCUGCAUCACUGUUCAUCAAUCUGAUGUACAGUCUAACCUCGAUCGAUAAACUCGCAAUUGCUACCGAACCUGUGUUGUAUAUAAUAGAGAUAAUUUCAUCUAAGAUUGUCAUCUUACAUAAAUAUACCUGAUAUUUUGUCGCGAGUCAAGUUUA
rnacentral:lncRNA from 1 species